rnacentral:lncRNA from 1 species
AUGGUUGCUGCCUCAUCAUCAUCUAAAAAGUCUUCUAUUGCUGUGGCUGGUAUCCAAUGCCAGUGCCACAUUUAUUUUCUUGAAGAGGAAACUGGGGAAACACAGCCUCCUAUGUGAUAUGUGACUUUUUGGUGUUCCUUGGAAGAAGAAGAAGAGGUAGAAAGAUGAAACUCAUAUUCUGAAUCUGAUGCAGCAUAUGGUUUCUUUUACCUUUUCAAUUGAAAUCCACAAUUAAUUAAGCAAAUUAUUAGCUGAAAAAUGAACCUAUUAGAGUUGAACAUAGUGAAAGUGGAUUGUUUUGAUGACAACCAUGAAAAAAAAAUGCUAGCGUCAAUCGUGUGUAAGUCCAUGACAGAUGGGUUGCGAAAUUCUAAAGAGGGUCCUCCUCCUUUUAAAAUUGAAAUAUGAACACACACCCUACAGCUACAGGACCCCACUACUCUAUCUACUAGGUCCACCCCUAAGCUUAAUAGUAACCAUAGACGUGCAGACCAAUAUCGAGGCACGGCUCAAUUCUGUAGAUUGGCCAAACUUAUUUCCCAACGGCCUUAAAACCAAAGUCUUGAAGAAUUCACUGCUACACUACACACACAAUAACAAAUAUAAAAACAACAAAAACAACAAACAACAAAUCUACUUGACCCCAAAAAACAAUAUUUAAAAGCAGGAAAAGGGGAAAAAGCAAAACAUUCAGCAUUGGUUCCAGUUAUUUGUGCCUUGGAACUUUUCCUUUGGCCCCUUCUCUCUUCCUUCGAUACCCACCACACAAUCACAUCACACACACUUCUACGUACCCCUUCCAUUCCAUCCCUCUCCAACUCUAAACUCUCACCAAAACUUCAUUUUUCUUUUGUUUAAUUAGUAAAACUCUCGUAUUUUUUGUUACAUAUAAUAAAAAUCAAAUGUUAAUCACAUAUAAACUUGUUUUGGAAUGA